UCCAGGGUAGUCUAGUGGACAUGGCACCUGCCCGGUAAGCAGAAGGUUGUGGGUUCGAUUCCCGCCCCUGGAC